AUGCGGGACCAUCGCAUCAGACGAGAAGCGACACGAGAACGCCUACGCUAAGAUCGUAGAGAAGCUACUCGAAGUUGAUCCGACGGGGGCGAUGAUGGCAAUUGCAGACAUGAUGAGGAAGAAGAUUACGAUGCCAGCCCACCUGAUGUACGACGGAAAGGAGCCGCGGCUGUUUGAGCACUUCUCGGCGGUGGCGCAAAGGCUGGGGGUAUACACGGCGGAUGAUUACGCGGACAUAUUGGAGUUCCUGGUGGGACGGUGGGGAUUGGAGAAGCUGGAGGGAUUGACGGGGGAAGGGAGACGUGCUCGGGACUUCGUAUGUGGGUUAGCGCCGAGGAUCAGGAAGCUGCAGGAGCGAGCCGACGAGAGGGCUAAGAAGAUGGGAGCCACAUUAUGCCAAGUUCAGCUGGAUCUUCAACAAGGAGGUUCUUUUGUGAUUCAGUAACUUACAAAUAAACAAACGACUCUCUGUGAAAAGUUUUAGUUUUUUUUUUUU
rnacentral:lncRNA from 1 species